rnacentral:lncRNA from 1 species
AAUAUAUAUAAAAAGAAGAUGUGGUAUGAUUGCCAAUGCGACAACUAUCCACAAAAGACCAAAAUGACACAAACAUUAACAACUAUAGGUCAAUGUACGGCCUUCAACAAUGAGCAAAGCCCAUACCGCAUAGUCAGCUAUAAAAGGUCCCGAUAAGACAAUGUAAAACAAUUCAAACGAGAAAACUAACGGCCUUAUUUAUGUAAAAAAAUGAACGAAAAACAAAUAUGUAACACAUAAACAAACGACAACCACUGAAUUACAGGCUCCUGACUUGGGACAGGCACAUACAUAAAUAAUAUGGCGGGGUUAAACAUGUUAGCGGGAUCCCAACCCUCCCCCUAACCUGGGACAGUGGUAUAACAGUACAACAUAAGAACGAACUAUAAAAAUCAGUUGAAAAAGGCUUAACUCAUCAGAUGGACAAAAAUACAAGUGGACGUAAUGAUCUGAUUU